UACGGAGGGUGCGAGCGUUAAUCGGAAUUACUGGGCGUAAAGCGUGCGUAGGCGGUUCGUUAAGUCAGAUGUGAAAGCCCCGGGCUCAACCUGGGAACUGCAUUUGAAACUGGCGGGCUUGAGUAUGGCAGAGGGGGGUGGAAUUCCGCGUGUAGCAGUGAAAUGCGUAGAGAUGCGGAGGAACACCGAUGGCGAAGGCAGCCCCCUGGGCCAAUACUGACGCUCAGGCACGAAAGCGUGGGGAGCAAACAGG
rnacentral:rRNA from 1 species